rnacentral:rRNA from 1 species
UACGUAGGGGGCAAGCGUUGUCCGGAAUCAUUGGGCGUAAAGCGCGUGUAGGCGGCCAGGUAAGUCCGUUCUGAAAGCCCGGGGCUCAACCCCGGGAGGCGGAUGGAUACUGCUUGGCUCGAGUCCGGAAGAGGCGAGUGGAAUUCCCGGUGUAGCGGUGAAAUGCGCAGAUAUCGGGAAGAACACCCGUGGCGAAAGCGGCUCUCUGGGACGGUACUGACGCUGAGACGCGAAAGCGUGGGGAGCGAACCGG